rnacentral:rRNA from 1 species
CAGUCGCCACGGUAAUACGUAGGUCCCGAGCGUUGUCCGGAUUUAUUGGGCGUAAAGCGAGCGCAGGCGGUUUGAUAAGUCUGAAGUUAAAGGCUGUGGCUCAACCAUAGUUCGCUUUGGAAACUGUCAAACUUGAGUGCAGAAGGGGAGAGUGGAAUUCCAUGUGUAGCGGUGAAAUGCGUAGAUAUAUGGAGGAACACCGGUGGCGAAAGCGGCUCUCUGGUCUGUAACUGACGCUGAGGCUCGAAAGCGUGGGGAGCGAACAGGAUUAGAUACCCCUGUAGUCCCUGUCUCUUAUACA